rnacentral:rRNA from 1 species
AAUGAACGCUGGCGGCGCGCCUAAUACAUGCAAGUCGAGCGAGAAGACGUAGCAAUACGUUUGUAAAGCGGCGAACGGGUGAGGAAUACAUGGGUAACCUACCCUCGAGUGGGGAAUAACUAGCCGAAAGGUUAGCUAAUACCGCGUACGCUUCUUGGACUUCGGUUCAGGGAGGAAAGCGAUGCCGAGGGUAUCGCGCUCUUGGAUGGGCUCAUGUCCUAUCAGCUUGNGGUGAGGUAACGGCUCACCAAGGCUUCGACGGGUAGCUGGUCUGAGAGGACGAUCAGCCACACUGGCACUGCGACACGGGCCAGACUCCUACGGGAGGCAGCAGUAAGGAAUAUUGCGCAAUGGGCGAAAGCCUGACGCAGCGACGCCGCGUGGGGGA